rnacentral:rRNA from 1 species
GCGCCCGGACGGAGUAUUUCGGUACAAAGACCGGGUGGCUGAGUGGCGGACGGGUGAGUAACGCGUGGACAACCUGCCGUGUACAGGGGGAUAACAGCCGGAAACGGCUGCUAAUACCGCAUAUGCGCACAGUGCCGCAUGGCACAGGGCGGAAAGCCUAGAUCUUAUCUAGUACGGUACACGAUGGGUCCGCGUCUGAUUAGGUAGUUGGCGGGGUAACGGCCCACCAAGCCCACGAUCAGUAGCCGGCCUGAGAGGGCGGACGGCCACACUGGGACUGAGACACGGCCCAGACUCCUGCGGGAGGCAGCAGUGGGGAAUAUUGCACAAUGGGGGGAACCCUGAUGCAGCGACGCCGCGUGAAGGAAGAAGUAUCUCGGUAUGUAAACUUCUAUCAGCAGGGAAGAAAGAGGACGGUACCUGACUAAGAAGCCCCGGCUAACUACGUGCCAGCAGCCGCGGUAAUACGUAGGGGGCGAGCGUUAUCCGGAUUUACCGGGUGUAAAGGGAGCGUAGACGGCCAUGCAAGCUCGGUGUGAAAGGUGCGGGCACAACCCGCAGACUGCACUGAGAACUGUAUGGCUGGAGUGCCGGAGGGGCAGGCGGAAUUCCUGGUGUAGCGGUGAAAUGCGUAGAUAUCAGGAGGAACACCGGUGGCGAAGGCGGCCUGCUGGACGGCGACUGACGUUGAGGCUCGAAAGCGUGGGGAGCGAACAGGAUUAGAUACCCUGGUAGUCCACGCCGUAAACGAUGUA